CAUACCUCCACAUCUGAAUUAUCUUUCUCAUUUUGGAAGAACUGAUUAUACAACUUCCUAUUAUUAGAGGAGAUGGGUUGAUAUUUGAGUCAAGAAAAUGAAAUGUAGGAGAGGGGUGUUAUUUCAACAUAAAAAUCAAAAUGAACAAAAAUGGAAAGUUUGCCUACAUUUAAACAAGUUAAAUUCAUGUAUCUUGAUAUAAUUAAAUCAUGGGUGAGCUGUCCAAUCUUCUUAUUCAUUUUGGAACCAGUUUGGUAAAGUCAGAAGUUUAUUUUCAGUAUCCUGGGAAAAAAUGCAUUUAACUUCUCUUGAAUCCAUUGCUUCAUGACAUACACCAGCUCAGGAUGCCCUCUUGCUAUAUAUUGGAUAAA